CCUUCCAGACUCCUACGGGAGGCAGCAGUGGGGAAUCUUCCGCAAUGGACGAAAGUCUGACGGAGCAACGCCGCGUGAGUGAUGACGGCCUUCGGGUUGUAAAGCUCUGUUAAUCGGGACGAAAGGCCUUCUUGCGAAUAGUGAGAAGGAUUGACGGUACCGGAAUAGAAAGCCACGGCUAACUACGUGCCAGCAGCCGCGGUAAUACGUAGGUGGCAAGCGUUGUCCGGAAUUAUUGGGCGUAAAGCGCGCGCAGGCGGAUAGGUCAGUCUGUCUUAAAAGUUCGGGGCUUAACCCCGUGAUGGGAUGGAAACUGCCAAUCUAGAGUAUCGGAGAGGAAAGUGGAAUUCCUAGUGUAGCGGUGAAAUGCGUAGAUAUUAGGAAGAACACCAGUGGCGAAGGCGACUUUCUGGACGAAAACUGACGCUGAGGCGCGAAAGCCAGGGGAGCGAACGGGAUUAGAUACCCCGGUAGUCCUGGCCGUAAACGAUGGGUACUAGGUGUAGGAGGUAUCGACCCCUUCUGUGCCGGAGUUAACGCAAUAAGUACCCCGCCUGGGGAGUACGACCGCAAGGUUGAAACUCAAAGGAAUUGACGGGGGCCCGCACAAG
rnacentral:rRNA from 1 species